CCUACGGGAGGCAGCAGUAGGGAAUUUUCGUCAAUGGGGGGAACCCUGAACGAGCAAUGCCGCGUGAGUGAAGAAGUAUUUCGGUAUGUAAAGCUCUAUCAGCAGGGAAGAAGAUGACGGUACCUGAGUAAGAAGCCCCGGCUAACUACGUGCCAGCAGCCGCGGUAAUACGUAGGGGGCAAGCGUUAUCCGGAUUUACUGGGUGUAAAGGGAGCGUAGACGGCUGCGCAAGUCUGAAGUGAAGGCCCGGGGCUCAACCCCGGGACUGCUUUGGAAACUGUGUAGCUAGAGUGCUGGAGAGGCAA
rnacentral:rRNA from 1 species